CGUAGAGAAAUCGAGUCUUAAUAGGGCGUUUAGUUGCUGGGUAUAGACCCGAAACCAGGCGAUCUAUCCAUGAGCAGGUUGAAGGUUGGGUAACACUAACUGGAGGACCGAACCCACUGUCGUUGAAAAGCCAGGGGAUGACUUGUGGAUAGGGGUGAAAGGCUAAUCAAGCCUGGUGAUAGCUGGUUCUCCCCGAAAGCUAUUUAGGUAGCGCCUCGGACGAAUACCAUAGGGGGUAGAGCACUGUUUCGGCUAGGGGGUCAUCCCGACUUACCAAACCGAUGCAAACUCCGAAUACCUAUGAGUACUAUCCGGGAGACAGACUGCGGGUGCUAACGUCCGUAGUCAAGAGGAAAACAAUCCAGACCGCCAGCUAAGGCCCCAAAAUCAUAGUUAAGUGGGAAACGAUGUGGGAAGGCAUAGACAGCUAGGAGGUUGGCUUAGAAGCAGCCACCCUUUAAAGAAAGCGUAAUAGCUCACUAGUCGAGUCGGCCUGC
rnacentral:rRNA from 1 species